UACGAAGGGGGCAAGCGUUGUUCGGAUUUACUGGGCGUAAAGGGCGCGUAGGCGGCCACCGCAAGUCGACUGUGAAAUCUCCGGGCUUAACCCGGAAAGGUCAGCCGAUACUGCGGGGCUAGAGUGCAGAAGGGGCAACUGGAAUUCUCGGUGUAGCGGUGAAAUGCGUAGAUAUCGAGAGGAACACCUGCGGCGAAGGCGGGUUGCUGGGCUGACACUGACGCUGAUGCGCGAAAGCUAGGGGAGCGAACGGG
rnacentral:rRNA from 1 species